rnacentral:rRNA from 1 species
UACGUAGGGGGCAAGCGUUGUCCGGAUUUAUUGGGCGUAAAGAGCGUGUAGGCGGCCAUGUAGGUCCGUUGUGAAAACUCGAGGCUCAACCUCGAGACGCCGAUGGAAACCAUGUGGCUAGAGUCCGGAAGAGGAGAGUGGAAUUCCUGGUGUAGCGGUGAAAUGCGCAGAUAUCAGGAAGAACACCCGUGGCGAAAGCGGCUCUCUGGAACGGUACUGACGCUGAGACGCGAAAGCGUGGGGAGCGAACAGG